rnacentral:rRNA from 1 species
CCUACGGGUGGCAGCAGUGAGGGAUAUUGGUCAAUGGGCGGAAGCCUGAACCAGCCAAGUCGCGUGAGGGAUUAAGGCCCUGCGGGUCGUAAACCUCUUUUGCCGGGGAGCAGUGGUCCGGACGCGUCCGGACCGGGAGAGUACCCGGAGAAAAAGCAUCGGCUAAUCCCGUGCCAGAAGCCGCGGUAAUACGGGGGAUGCGAGCGUUAUCCGGAUUUCUUGGGUUUAAAGGGGGAGUAGGGGGGCAGUUAAGCCGGCGGUCAAAUGUCGGGGCCCAACCCCGGACUGCCGUCGUAACUGGGUGCCUUGAGUGCGCGAGAAGUAUGCGGAAUGCGUGGUGUAGCGGUGAAAUGCUUAGAUAUCACGAAGAACCCCGGUUGCGAAGGCAGCUUACUAAACUGUGACUGACAUUGAUGCUCGAAAGUGUGGGUAUCAAACAGGAUUAGAUACCCUAGUAGUC